GUGGCGAGUUAGUUUGGUUUUUCAUACUCGCGCGUUUGGUCCGGUAAUGAGAGAGGCAAAAUAAAUUGUGCCCAUUAGAUGUGGAAAUGAGAUGUGGACCGUUUGAUCAGGAAGGAUAUUUUGGAGAGAGUAAAUGCUGUGUAAAGCAGUCUUGCGUGCAAGCAUCAUUUGGCGUGUUGAUCCUUCUCUCAUUUAGAGCUUCUAUGUAGUUGGUGUUUCUCCCUCCUAAUCUCUUUGCAAUCUACCUGCUUUCAUCUUCUCUGUCGAUCAAGAACCCGAACAAAGUUGGAUUCAAUGUGGACCGUUUGAUCAGGAAGGAUAUUUUGGAGAGAGUAAAUGCUGUGUAGAGCAGUAUUGCGUGCAAGCAUCAUUUGGUGUGUUGAUCCUUCUCUCCCUUAUAGCUUCUAUGUAGUUGGUGUUUCUCCCUCCUAAUCUCUUCGCAAUCUACCUGCUUUCAUCUUCUUUGUCCAUCAAGAACCCGAACAAAGUUUGAUUCAAGUACAAAAACAGCACCGCCCUCCUUAAUUACAGAGGGGAGCAAGUCGGAGAAGUUCUGAUUCCCGCCGACAAGAUCUUGGCAGGCGAGACUAUGGCUGUGAACUUGACCCUCACGAUCAUAGCGGAUAAAUUGUUCUCCAAUUGACAAGUUUAUUCGGAUGUGAUUGGCGGCUAUGAACUUGACCCUCAAGAUCAUAGCGGAUAAAUUGUUCUCCAAUUGGCAAGUUUAUUAGGAUGUGAUUGGCGGUGAGUUGCCUCUGUUCACUUUUACUCGGAUCUCCGGUGAGGUCAGUGUUAUUAGUAUUAAGCUCAAAGUGGUUUCCACCGUCAUUUGUGAUUUAACUGUCUUUAUUUCUAAUAGAACGGUUGGUGAUCAACACUGCAAAUGUAAAACAAAAUUAUAGUUCCAUUUUUUGUUCUUAUGUACUUGAUUAUGCUAUUGCUGUCAAUUUUCCAUGUAAUUAUUUGUCUGAUUAUAAACUCAUAUUGAUAAAUUUUACUUCUUCCAUCAAAUUUUUUGGGUAUAUGUAACAACUACUGUGGAAUUCCUCGUAUGCAUACGGAAUUCACAUCUCCUUGAUUGUGAUGGUUAUUUAUUGUUUUGUGCUCUCUGUAGUACAGAGUACCGUGUGACAUUCUUUGUGGAGCAGAGUACUGUGAAGGGUAUUCUUCCUUCAUACUUACAUUGCUUUCAUGAUUUUAGAUUAUUACUUUAUUUUUCUUAUCUUUGUCUUUUCAUUCAGGUUUUUUUACUUUGUUUACGUCCGUUUUAAUGUGGUGUUUUCUUUGACGGGCCGUUUCCAUAUAUAGAUUUCUUGCCUUUGGUUAUGGGUGAUGGUGUUUAUGUAAGUUGCAUCUUUAGUUAUUGGUGAUGGUGUUUAUGUAAGUUGCAUCUCAUAUUUUUUGUACUUUUUUGGGGUUAGGUAUGAAAUAUCAUGUACGUUCUGUUUUGGAUUAUUUUUUAUACAUGUAUAUCCAGGUUUUAAUUUUUUUUUUAACUCAAAUAAUUGUUGUUUCUCUUCAUACUUACAUUGCUUUCUUCAUUUUUUUUACUAUUACUUUAUUAUUUUUCAUCUUUGUUUUUAUGUCCGUUCUAAUGGGGUGUUUUAUUAGACGGGCCGUUUCCGUAAAUAGAUUUCGUGCCUUUGGUUAUUGGUGAUGGUGUUUAUGUUUUUUUACCGUGUUUAUGUCCGUUUUAAUGGGGUGUUUUCUUAGACGGGCCGUUUCCGUUAAUAGAUUUCGUGCAUUUGGUUAUUGGUGAUGGUGUUUAUGUAAGUUGCAUCUCAUAUUUUUUGUUCGUUAUUUAAUAUCCAUGUUUUAAUUGUGUUUUUCUUUUUUACCAGUUUCUUUGUUGUUUAUCUUCAUACUUACAUUCCUUCAUCAUUUUAGAUAAUUACUUAAUCUUUCUUAUCUUUGUUUUCUCAUCCAGGUUUUUCUACCGUGUUUGUGUUUAUGUCCGUUUUAAUGGGGUGUUUUCUUAGACGGGCCGUUUCCGUGAAUAGAUUUCGCGCCUUUGGUUAUUGGUGAUGGUGUUUAUAUAAGUUGCAUCUCAAUCUUUUUGUACGUUAUUUAAUAUCCAUGUUUUAAUUGUGUUUUUAUUUUUUUACCAGUUUCUUUGUUGUUUAUCUUCGUACUUACAUUCUUUCAUCAUUUUUUAUAAUUACUUUAUGUAUGUAUUGUCAUCGGUCAUUAUGCACCAUAAUUUUAUAAUUCUUCAAAAAUAAGAAGUUGGGUUGUGGGAUAUUUCUGCCUGAUGUUUGUAGUUAAUUUUCUGAAUUAUUUGGGAGUUCAUGCGUUUGUGGUUAUAUUUUGUUGUCUUUCAAUACAACCAUUAUCUGAGUUGGUCAUGCUAUUGGGGUUGGUGUCUUCAAUUAUGUCGAGUACCUUGGAGGUUCAUCUUCUACGUCUUUCCUCUUUUUUCUUGGUUCUAUUUGUGGUUGAUUUAAUUGCCUUAUUGAUACUUUUGGUUUUCCCUUAAUUUGUUUUACUUAUGAGUCUUGGUAUGGUUUGAAAGGUUUUGUUGUCAUUAACUCUAGGGCUCCUUAUAUGUAGGUGUUACCUUUGUUGACAGUCUUUUAAAGCUUGGUGUCUGCAGUUCUGUGGGAUACCUGGCAGGGUAGUUUACUGGGGCUUUAUAUGUGUUCUCAUACAACUAUUUUUACAGGGUUUUGCUAUUUUCUUCUCACUGGUGUUGCUUUAAUAUUUUUUUUUGUGGUAUAUGAUUUAUUUGGACUAUUGGUUGACCUCUUUCCUCUGCUUUUUAUGUAGAAUCUCCUCCUGGUUUUGUUAAUUAUUAUCCAGGUUAUUUUUGUUUAUGUCUAUGUAUGUAUUGUUAGUGUCAUUCUGAGAUAGGCUGCGGCCGUGGUUCGAUUUUUUUAGUCUGGUUACUUUUUAUGGUGUUGGGUUCUAUAUGCUUUAGAUGGGCAACUUUUGUUUGGCGAGAAGAGACUGUGGUAUGUGGGACUAUGUCAUUGCCAUUAUCGUGCAUAGGGAUUGAGAACUAUUAUUUCCAACGGAGUAUUUAUUAAGUCAAAUCAAAGAAGGCUUUUAUGUUCUUUGCUCAUGAACUGGACCUAAAGUUUUAAGGAGCACAAGACAUGGAAUUUCAUUGAAAGAGAGUUAUCAUCAUCAUUUUACUGGAUAGUUGAGCAAAAGAUUUUUACUUGAAAAUUUUAGUGCUGGUGAUUCUAAAUAUUAUAUUUCGAUCGAGUUAUGGGAGUUGAUCUGGAUGGGAUGUGUUGAUAAAUCAAUGAAUUGGACAGAUGGAGCAAAGAUGGAAAGAAAAGUGGUAUUUAUUCAGCUUAAGAGACAGGAAGCACCCAACUGGGUUAAAAAAAAAAGGAGCCACUAGAGCUACUAGAAUGCCACAGGGAAAGACAGAGAGGUUUACAGUGCUUCAACAGGUGCUUUACUUUGCAUGAAGAAUUUUUGGGUAUGAUCAACAUCUUUCUUACAUCAAUUUCUUGGUUAUUUCUUUUUAGUUACCAUCUAAUUCUAUAAUUUUGUUGUUGCUAUCAUUGCAGAGUAUGUUUGAUUCUAAUUAGAAAACCCAAGAUUGGUCUGAAUCAGUGUUGGUUAUUGGUUUGUAGAUUGAAUUUCGAGAAUUGUCUUAAAUCACUUUACAUGAUUAGAUAGAUAUGACUUUCUUUCUAUUUGAUUUGAAAUUUUCGUUCUAGAUUUAGAGUCAUGUUUAAUUUUGCGGGGUUUAUAUCUAGACAAGGGGAUAUUGAGAUACAGUUCGUGAAAGUUGAGAAAUUCAAUAGGAAUUUAGUUUCAGAUGGCUGCAACAAUGGAAACUGGCAGUAUAUGGGCUUUGGAUUAGAAGUUUGAUUAGUCCAUGGAUGAGGAGGCUGGCAGUCUCAAGAAUAUGUACAGAGAAAAUGUACUUUUUUAUUUUUUGUUUAUGUCAUUUUGUUUAUUAGUGAGUGAAUAUGGUUGUACCUUUCGAAGUAGUACAACAACAUCUUCCUUUACUAUUGUAAUUGACCUACAACUUAAAAUUCCGAUUGAUAUAGCUGUGAAUUUAUUGGUUAUACUAUGUCUUAUGCAUUCUGUUUUGCUAUUAAUUAUGAUGCCUGAGUGUCAGUCUGUAGACUGAUGUCUAUUUGACAAUGAAUAUAGGCCGUUGACAGUUACAAUCAAUUGUAGAAGAGUUAUUCUAUCUAAUUGAGUCAUACCGAUGGGGAGAUGCAUGGUCUUGAUAUACAACGACCAUGACCUUUACUAAUUACACACUAACGAGAUAAUGUUAUGUGAAGUGAGCUUCUCGAUCUGUUUAGACAUGGUCUGGUAUGUCAUUUAAAUACUUUAGUUGGGAAUUUGAUUUAUGAUUUAUGUGCAUAGUUUUAGUUUUGGACUUUCAAGGAUUGAAUUGGAUUAGAUUUUCAAAAGUUGCAUUUCAUUUGUUGAGGUGGUGCAUUUCAUUUCAUGACCUAGCAUUGAAAAAAAUUGUAAACCCAAGAUGUAUGUGGCAUUAAUAUAUGUUCAACCCAAGAUGUAUAUGGCGAGGUGGUUCCAGGCAUUGAUAACAAUGUCUUGGGAGAAUGAGAUAGAGAUUCGCCUGUUCGAUAUGGAGGAGAAUACGACGUCUCUGUCUGUGGUGUACAAACUUGGUUUUGAGUUUUCGAUCCUUCUAAAUGGGUGGGAUUGUGUCAGUGAAAUGAAAUUUGGAUGCUAUUUCUUUCUGAGUGAAUAGACACUGAUUUUCAUGUUGGUGGUACUAUUUUGAUUCUUCUAUCUGGGUUUGUAUUCAUCUUCGUUUACACUAUUUAGAUUCCCCUGUGAAAUGCUGAAUUUUAAUAUCUAUUUGUUAAUUUUUCCCCUUUUUUCAUUGUAGCUUUUGAUCAUAGAUUGGAAGCUUGUGUUUUUGACUUUUCCGUAUGGGGUGUGGGAUUGGAAUAAAUUUGUCGACAUGAAAACUUACUCCCCUAAGGUCAGUCCUAGGGGGUGCUGCCUCAAAGUGAUGUUGGUACAUUCAAUGUUGAGGACAGAAGCGAAACCAUGGAGAUCGUUACUUCUCCAAGGAAAGAAGUUGAGAAUAAUAUGGGGAUGAUGAACAAGAAGACCGAAAUUGAUGGGGAUAGAGACAGGAUGUCAAUUGGGAGGAGAACAGUAGUGGUGGAUUUAACAUAUGGAAGUGGAGCGUAAAUGGGAUUGGAGCUAUAUGUUCAUUUGAUGUUUGCUGCUACUACCUUUUGUGUCAGUCGCCAGAGAAACAAACAACAGGAGCAGACCAGAAAAUAUUGACUUCCUGAUUUAAGUGCUUUCUUAGCCAACUUCUAGACAUGAAUAUUAGUAAUCUAUUCCAUGGAAAUUUUUAUUAGUAUCCUUAUUAAGGGAAUUGUAUUGAAAAGUUGUGGAGGUGAAUUUUGGAUGGAAAUUGAUCUGCCUAUGAUUUUUGGAUGCA